rfam:Corynebacterium argentoratense DSM 44202, complete genome.
GGGGCUGAUUUUUGGUUUCGACUGCGUACAGUGAGCCAGGGGAAGCGUGCCGGUGCAGGCUAGAGACCACCGUAAGCGUCGUAGCAAACCUAUAAGCGCCGAGAACACUCAGCGCGACUACGCCCUCGCUGCCUAAUUAAGAGCUAGCGACCGCGUGUCUGUCGGACCCAGGUUUGUUCCUGGCUUGGACUUCGGCAUCGAUUACGGGAACUUACUUCCUCGUUGUGUUGACGGGAUGGGGAAGGACAUUUUUACCGACAACUGGGCCUAUCAUCCAGACAUGUUUGCCUGAUCUGGAGGGUCGAGUAGAGAUACUGUGCGAACUGCGCACGGAGAAGCCCUGGCGAGGUGGCGUAGGACCCGAGUUCGAUUCUCGGCAGCUCCACUU